AGAGUUUGAUCAUGGCUCAGAAUCAACGCUGGCGGCGUGCCUAACACAUGCAAGUCGAACGAGAAAGGGUAGCAAUACCUGAGUAAAGUGGCGCACGGGUGAGUAACACGUGACUAACCUACCCUGGAGUGGGGGAUAACUGAGGGAAACCUUAGCUAAUACCGCAUAACACCUACGGGUCAAAGGAGCAAUUCGCUUCAGGAGGGGGUCGCGGCCGAUUAGUUAGUUGGCGGGGUAAUGGCCCACCAAGACAGUGAUCGGUAUCCGGCCUGAGAGGGCGCACGGACACACUGGAACUGAAACACGGUCCAGACUCCUACGGGAGGCAGCAGUGGGGAAUUUUGCGCAAUGGGGGAAACCCUGACGCAGCAACGCCGCGUGGAGGAUGAAGUACUUCGGUACGUAAACUCCUUUCGAUCGGGACGAUUAUGACGGUACCGGAAGAAGAAGCCCCGGCUAACUUCGUGCCAGCAGCCGCGGUAAUACGAGGGGGGCAAGCGUUGUUCGGAAUUAUUGGGCGUAAAGGGUGCGUAGGCGGUUUUGUAAGUCUUGUGUGAAAUCUUCAGGCUCAACUUGAAGACUGCACGAGAAACUGCAGGGCUUGAGUGUGGGAGAGGUGAGUGGAAUUCCUGGUGUAGCGGUGAAAUGCGUAGAUAUCAGGAGGAACACCUGUGGCGAAAGCGGCUCACUGGACCACAACUGACGCUGAUGCACGAAAGCUAGGGGAGCAAACAGGAUUAGAUACCCUAGUAGUCC
rnacentral:rRNA from 1 species